UACGUAGGGACCAAGCGUUGUUCGGAUUUACUGGGCGUAAAGGGCGCGUAGGCGGCUUUGCAAGUCGGGUGUGAAAUCCCCAGGCUUAACCUGGGAACUGCAUUCGAGACUGCAUUGCUAGAGUAUGGGAGAGGGAAGUGGAAUUUCCGGUGUAGCGGUGAAAUGCGUAGAUAUCGGAAGGAACAUCAGUGGCGAAAGCGACUUCCUGGACCAAUACUGACGCUCAUGUGCGAAAGCGUGGGGAGCAAACAGG
rnacentral:rRNA from 1 species